CUUCCACGCUAGCAGCAAUACCGUAUUCCUUCCUCACGGGGGUUCUGUUGGAAAAGGACCUUCGCCCGCCGUGGAGAGAAGCUAGGGUUCUGGUAACACUGUCUGGUUUCCCAUUUUUGUUGUUUUGCCAACACAUUAAGAGACUGGUGUCUGUGAAGCACAAGAAACCUCGUAGAUAUCAACAACUAAAAACUUACAGAAUAAAAAUCAUAUUCCUAGCAAACUCGUAGU
rnacentral:lncRNA from 1 species